rnacentral:rRNA from 1 species
CCUACGGGUGGCAGCCGUGAGGAAUAUUGGUCCAUGGUCGAGAUCCUGAACCAGCCAAGCCGCGUGAGGGAAGACGGCCCUGUGGGUUGUAAACCUCUUUUGUCGGGGAACCAAACCGUGGACGUGUCCCCGUCUGCGUGUACCCUAAGAAAAAGCAUCGGCUAACUCCGUGCCAGCCGCCGCGGUAAUACGGAGGAUGCGAGCGUUAUCCGGAUUUGUUGGGUUUAAAGGGUUCGUAGGCGGUCCUUUCAGUCCGGGGUAAAAUUGCGGGGCUAAACCCAGUCGAGCAGUUGAAACUGGCAGACUUGAGUUGGAGAGAAGUAGGCGGAAUGCGCGGUGUAGCGGUGAAAUGCAUAGAUAUCGCGCAGAACUCCGAUUGCGAAGGCAGCGUACCGGAGCCAGACUGACGCUGAGGCACGAAAGCGUGGGGAUCGAACAGGAUUAGAUACCCCGGUAGUC